rnacentral:rRNA from 1 species
ACAGUGGACGCGAGCAUCUGUGGCCAAGUUUUUAAGGGCGCACGGUGGAUGCCUUGGCACCAGGAACCGAUGAAGGACGUGGGAGGCCACGAUAGGCCCCGGGGAGCUGUCAACCGAGCUUUGAUCCGGGGGUGUCCGAAUGGGGAAACCCGGCAGUCGUCAUGGGCUGUCACCCGCACCUGAAUGUAUAGGGUGUGUGGAGGGAACGCGGGGAAGUGAAACAUCUCAGUACCCGCAGGAAGAGAAAACAACCGUGAUUCCGGGAGUAGUGGCGAGCGAAACCGGAUGAGGCUAAACCGUAUGUGUGUGAUACCCGGCAGGGGUUGCGCAUGCGGGGUCGUGGGAGUUUCCUUCAGUCGUCUGCCGGCGGCUGGGCGAGUGAGAAACCAUUGUGGUAGGCGAAGGGCAUGCGAAAGGCCCGGCGUAGAGGGUAAGACCCCCGUAGCUGAAACUGCAAUGGCUCGUUUGGGAGCCACCCAAGUAGCACAGGGCCCGAGAAAUCCUGUGUGAAUCUGGCGGGACCACCCGUUAAGCCUAAAUAUUCCCUGGUGACCGAUAGCGGAUAGUACCGUGAGGGAAUGGUGAAAAGUACCGCGGGAGCGGAGUGAAAUAGUACCUGAAACCGUGUGCCUACAAGCCGUGGGAGCGUCGCACAGUGGGCUUGCCUGCUGUGUCGUGACUGCGUGCCUUUUGAAGAAUGAGCCUGCGAGUUUGCGGUAUGUUGCGAGGUUAACCCGUGUGGGGGAGCCGUAGCGAAAGCGAGUCCGAAUAGGGCGUUCAGUAGCAUGCUCAAGACCCGAAGCGGAGUGAUCUAGCCAUGGGCAGGGUGAAGCGGCUGUAAGAGGUCGUGGAGGCCCGAACCCACCAGAGUUGAAAAUCUGGGGGAUGACCUGUGGUUAGGGGUGAAAGGCCAAUCAAACUCCGUGAUAGCUGGUUCUCCCCGAAAUGCAUUUAGGUGCAGCGUCGCGUGUUUCUUACCGGAGGUAGAGCACUGGAUAGGCGAUGGGCCUUACCGGGUUACUGACCUUAGCCAAACUCCGAAUGCCGGUAAGUGAGAGCGCGGCAGUGAGACUGUGGGGGAUAAGCUCCAUGGUCGAGAGGGAAACAGCCCAGAGCAUCGACUAAGGCCCCUAAGCGUGUGCUAAGUGGGAAAGGAUGUGGAGUCGCAGAGACAACCAGGAGGUUGGCUUAGAAGCAGCCACCCUUGAAAGAGUGCGUAAUAGCUCACUGGUCUAGUGAUUCUGCGCCGACAAUGUAGCGGGGCUCAAGUACACCGCCGAAGUCGUGUCAUUCGAACAUAUACUCCUAACGGGGGUUCGGAUGGGUAGGGGAGCGUCGUGUGCCGGGUGAAGCAGCCGUGGAAACGAGUUGUGGACGGUUCACGAGUGAGAAUGCAGGCAUGAGUAGCGAUACACACGUGAGAAACGUGUGCGCCGAUUGACUAAGGGUUCCUGGGUCAAGCUGAUCUGCCCAGGGUAAGUCGGGACCUAAGGCGAGGCCGACAGGCGUAGUCGAUGGACAACCGGUUGAUAUUCCGGUACCCGCUUUGAAGCGCCAACGCUGAAUCUGGUGAUGCUAAGCCCGUGAAGCCCCCUGCUUCCCGUCUUUGACGGGUGUGGGUGUGGUGGAGCCGGUGACCCGAGCUGGUAGUAGGUGAGUGAUGGGGUGACGCAGGAAGGUAGUCCAUCCCGGGCGGUGGUAGUCCCGGGGUAAGGGUGUAGGGCGAGGAGUAGGUAAAUCCGCUUCUCUUGUGCCUGAGACCUGAUGCCGAGCCGAUUGUGGUGAAGUGGAUGAUCCUAUGCUGUCGAGAAAAGCCUCUAGCGAGUUUCAUGGCGGCCCGUACCCUAAACCGACUCAGGUAGUCAGGUAGAGAAUACCGAGGCGUUCGGGUGAACUAUGGUUAAGGAACUCGGCAAAAUGCCCCCGUAACUUCGGGAGAAGGGGGGCCACGUCUGGUGAUGGGCUUUGCGCCUUGAGCUGGGGGUGGCCGCAGAGACCAGCGAGAAGCGACUGUUUACUAAAAACACAGGUCCGUGCGAAGCCGUAAGGCGAUGUAUACGGACUGACGCCUGCCCGGUGCUGGAACGUUAAGGGGACCGGUUAGUCAGGAUUCGUUCUGGCGAAGCUGAGAACUUAAGCGCCAGUAAACGGCGGUGGUAACUAUAACCAUCCUAAGGUAGCGAAAUUCCUUGUCGGGUAAGUUCCGACCUGCACGAAUGGCGUAACGACUUCUUGACUGUCUCAACCAUAGGCCCGGUGAAAUUGCAGUACGAGUAAAGAUGCUCGUUUCGCGCAGCAGGACGGAAAGACCCCGGGACCUUUACUAUAGCUUGAUAUUGGUGUUCGGUUCGGCUUGUGUAGGAUAGGUGGGAGACUGUGAAGCAUGCACGCCAGUGUGUGUGGAGUCGUUGUUGAAAUACCACUCUGGUCGUGCUGGAUGUCUAACCUGGGUCCGUGAUCCGGAUCAGGGACAGUGUCUGGUGGGUAGUUUAACUGGGGCGGUUGCCUCCUAAAGAGUAACGGAGGCGCCCAAAGGUUCCCUCAGCCUGGUUGGUAAUCAGGUGUUGAGUGUAAGUGCACAAGGGAGCUUGACUGUGAGACUGACGGGUCGAGCAGGGACGAAAGUCGGGACUAGUGAUCCGGCGGUGGCUUGUGGAAGCGCCGUCGCUCAACGGAUAAAAGGUACCCCGGGGAUAACAGGCUGAUCUUCCCCAAGAGUCCGUAUCGACGGGAUGGUUUGGCACCUCGAUGUCGGCUCGUCGCAUCCUGGGGCUGGAGUCGGUCCCAAGGGUUGGGCUGUUCGCCCAUUAAAGCGGCACGCGAGCUGGGUUUAGAACGUCGUGAGACAGUUCGGUCCCUAUCCGCUGCGCGCGUAGGAGUCUUGAGAAGGGCUGUCCCUAGUACGAGAGGACCGGGACGGACGAACCUCUGGUGUGCCAGUUGUCCUGCCAAGGGCAUGGCUGGUUGGCUACGUUCGGGAAGGAUAACCGCUGAAAGCAUCUAAGCGGGAAGCCUGCUUCGAGAUGAGGGCUCCCACCCACGUGAUGGGGUAAGGCUCCCUGUAGACGACAGGGUUGAUAGGCCAGAUAUGGAAGCCCAGUAAUGGGUGGAGUUGACUGGUACUAAUAGGCCGAGGGCUUGUCCAUAGUUG